AACCAGCACCUCAAGUGGUCAGGAUGAUUAUUGGGCCUAAAGCAUCCGUAGCUCGUUUUGUAAGUUUUCGGUUAAAUCCAUACGCUUAACGUAUGGGCUGCCGGGAAUACUGCAUAACUAGGAAGUGGGAGAGGUAGACGGUACUCGGUAGGAAGGGGUAAAAUCCUUUGAUCUAUUGAUGACCACCUGUGGCGAAGGCGGUCUACCAGAACACGUUCGACGGUGAGGGAUGAAAGCUGGGGGAGCAAACCGGAUUAGAUACCCGGGUAGUCCCAGCUGUAAACUAUGCAAACUCAGUGAUGCAUUGGCUUGUGGCCAAUGCAGUGCUGCAGGGAAGCCGUUAAGUUUGCCGCCUGGGAAGUACGUACGCAAGUAUGAAACUUAW
rnacentral:rRNA from 1 species